GACGAACGCUGGCGGCGUGCCUAACACAUGCAAGUCGAACGGGACCGGGGGCAACUCUGGUUCAGUGGCGGACGGGUGCGUAACACGUGAGGAACAUGACCUUCGGCGGGGGAGUAGCCGGCCCAACGGCCGGGUAAUACCGCGUACGACCACAUGGGGACGAUCCCUGAGUGGUGAAAGCAGCAAUGCGCCGAUGGAGUGCCUCGCGGCCUAUCAGCUAGUUGGUGAGGUAACGGCNCACCAAGGCGACGACGGGUAGCUGGUCUGAGAGGAUGGCCAGCCACAUUGGGACUGAGACACGGCCCAGACUCCUACGGGAGGCAGCAGUGGGGAAUAUUGCGCAAUGGACGAAAGUCUGACGCAGCGACGCCGCGUGUGGGAUGACGGUCUUCGGA
rnacentral:rRNA from 1 species